rnacentral:rRNA from 1 species
GUGCCAGCCGCCGCGGUAAUACGGAGGGUGCUAGCGUUGUUCGGAAUCACUGGGCGUAAAGCGCGUGUAGGCGGUCCGUUAAGUCUGAUGUGAAAGCCCGGGGCUCACCCCCGGAAGUGCAUUGGAAACUGACGAACUCGAGUCCCGGAGAGGAGGGUGGAAUUCCUGGUGUAGCGGUGAAAUGCGUAGAUAUCAGGAGGAACACCGGUGGCGAAGGCGGCCCUCUGGACGGUGACUGACGCUGAGACGCGAAAGCGUGGGGAGCAAACAGGAUUAGAAACCCGGGUAGUCC